rnacentral:lncRNA from 1 species
AAUUAUCGUUAAUGGUGUCAGAGACUUGUACUUGCCUGUGAGAUGGGUCUAAAGUUGGGCCUCUUGUUGGAUGCCCAUUCUCUCAGUCUCUGUUCCAUCUUGUCCCUGCCUUUCUUGCAGGAAGGAUAAAUUUGGGGUCACAAAUUUGUGUCCUCUUGUGUGUUGGUGUCCUUAUUCUUCUACUGGAGUUUCUACCUGACUAUAGAAGGCAGCUUCUUCAUCUUCCAUAUCCCCACUGCUAUGAGUAUCAGGAUGCUACAGAAGUGUGCCAGCUGCCUGCGUGUCUGGUGAGACAUGCUGAUCCUGGGAGCAUGAAGAUUCAGCUCUCCUGGUUCGGGACCGUGGAGUCAUUCCUGUGCCCUUGAAAGAAGAUGGAGACUUUUUAGGAUUUACCCUCACCGAGCACAGGAAGAUAACAUUCAAGGGAUGCCUCAGCUUGAGCAGAUACCAGUUAUCUCCUGAGUCAACACCCGGUGUCUCCACCGCAUGACCUCAUCGUCUACCGCCUGACCUCUUUGCCUCCUGCUAUCACUGACUAUAUCCUCAUCCCUCCAUCCUUUGUGUUUCACAAAGGACACUCCCCCUACCUGAAAGCCUUAAAAGCUGGAACGUUCACCCCAAUAAAUGAGACCUUGACAAUAGAAUCUUGCUUGGUCUCCUUCUCCUCUCGCCCCCCAUAGGCCUAUGAGUAAGCAUACAUAUAAGACUACAACCAGCUGAGUCAUUUGUUGAUGUUGUUGCUGUUGUUAUUGUUGUUAUUGAUUGUGUGUAUAUAAUUUCAGGUGUGAUCACAAUGCAUUAAAUUGCCAAUUAG